UACGUAGGGGGCAAGCGUUGUCCGGAUUUAUUGGGCGUAAAGAGCGUGUAGGCGGCUAGAUAGGUCCGUUGUGAAAACUCGAGGCUCAACCUCGAGCUGUCGAUGGAAACCAUCUGGCUAGAGUCCGGAAGAGGAGAGUGGAAUUCCUGGUGUAGCGGUGAAAUGCGCAGAUAUCAGGAAGAACACCCGUGGCGAAGGCGGCUCUCUGGUACGUGACUGACGCUGAGACGCGAAAGCGUGGGGAGCGAACAGG
rnacentral:rRNA from 1 species